rnacentral:lncRNA from 10 species
UGGGAUAGGCACAGCAUAACUGCUACAGACACCCCUGUUCAAAAAGGGGGAAACAGGAGGUACCCAGAAGUCACAGGUCCACAGAGAUUCUGAAAUCCAGCCAGGCAAACUUGGAGGUUCCCUUAUUAGGACUCAGUCCUCCUCCUGCCUGUGCCAGAUGAGGUCAUGCAGGGAGAGCCAGCCCUAGACACACACUCCUCUUCCUGCCCCUGGCCUCUGUCCCACACUGGGAGGGGCACACCCUAGCCUGCACAUCCAAGCUCUCUCCCCAUCACAUACAUACCCUGCUUGACCACCCCAACGGCUUAGGGGUAUGUCACUGGCAGUUCAGUCCAUCUUCUGAAGGAGGGACUCUGAGGGAAAGUCCAUGCAGGCCCCAGAAGCAGGCUCAGGAUGGCUUCAAAUAGGAAUUCUGAGGUCUCCUGUAUGCAGAGUUUGGUCUAGAUAUGGAGAGGGUGGGCAUGGGCUCUGGUGGGCAUGUUCACUGGGCCCUGCAGGCUCCUCACCUCAUAGGAAUGGGCACAACCUGAGAAGGGUUCUGGUGGGGCCUUCCAAAGCAUGAGACCCAGGGGGGCCCUCCAAAGCCUGAGACUCAAGGCAGGGGCCCUCCAAAACAUGAGACCCAGGGGGGGCCCUCCAAAACAUGAGGGCCAGGGGAGGGGCCCCUCUUCCUAGGUUGAAGGGCAAUACUGGGGCUAGGGACUGAGAAUCUUCCUGUGAUUGAAACAUGUUAGGAUGAAAUGAGAGAGAGAGAGAGAGAGGACUGCAAGCUGGGGUUAUGGUUAGAAUGUGAGACACAGGGAGGCAAGAUUUCGCCAUGGCACAUUCAAGGUGGUGAGCAGCUGUAGAAGCGUGGAGUGAAGUGAAGCCCAGUGGAGCUGAGGUGAUCAGGGCUGUAGCUGAGGCUAAGAUGUUGAAGCUAUGCACCCCCCCCACACACACCCAGCAAACAGUGGUGGGGUCGGCACAGGUUAUUGACAGAGGUACUGAUGUCACCAGGGUGUUGCCAGGAUAAGAGAUGAGGAGGACAACGAUGAGUCAGGUACCAAAGUCUUCAGGGGACAUGGAGGUGUGACCAGGAAGCUGGCCAUAAAGGAUGGCAGGAAGUAAAGGAUGGCAGAGCUGAUGGCAUGAACCUCGAAGCAGGUGAUCUUAUAGGAGGUGACGAGCGAACCAGGCAAAGCCAAAUGACGAUGCACCAGUGAGUCACCAGUGAGAUUGCAUUUAAAAUCUAGCAGCCUCAGAGCCAAGACCAGCCUUGUGUAAACAGAGUUCAGGGAGGAGGGAAGAUAGUGGAGUGAGACGUGCCGAGGCCAGCCGGCCUCUGGGCUUGGGGUGCGCUGACCUCUGGGGAGCCGAGUGCAUCUGCUGGACUGAAGGCAGAGUAAUUUUUUCAUCUCAUGCAGAAGAAGAAAGAAGAUAUGUAGCAGAGGAAAGGAACGGAACAUUCUCCCUCCCUACCUUACACAGGAGAGUGGUCAUCUACACUAAAGCAAAACUUCCUUAUCAUAGGAAGACCAUUUUCCUUGACCUUUAGGUGAUUUUAUAGUCAUCUCGAAAGGGAAACAAAACUCAACUCAGGACUUGAUUGAACACAGAGAGUCCACUAGGAUGCAGUAUUCCUGCCCACUUCUCCAGGAAGAAAGAAGCAAAUGACGUGGGUCUUUUGGCACUGUUUGCUUAAUUAUAAAGAAAUUAUUUUGCAAGCUGAAUACUGAUGCUUUAUUUGAAACAGGUGCUUAGUUGGUGGCAUUUAUGAAUUCUUUACCUUUUGUUCCAAACCAAAAGACUAAUUAAAUAGCAAGUAUUGGUGGGGAAAAAAAAGAAAAAAAAAAGACUUUGUUGGGCGCGGUGGCUCAUGCCUGUAAUCCUAGCACUUUGGGAGGCCAAGGAGGGCAGAUCACGAGGUCAGGAGAUCGAGACUAUCCUGGCCAACAUGGUGAAACCCGUCUCUACUAAAAAUACAAAAAUUAGCUGGGUGUGGUGGCACGCGCCUGUAGUCCCAGCUACUCGGGAGGCUGAGGCAGAAGAAUUGUUUGAACCCGGGAGGCGGAGGUUGCAGUGAGCCAAGAUCGCACCACUGCACUCCAGCCUGGGUGACAGAGCGAGACUCCCUCUCAAAAAAAAAAAAAAAAAAAAGACUUCAAAACAGUGUGGAAUUAUGGAAAUGGAUGCCAUCCAAGAAGACUGGAAAAAUACACUCUGACCUCUUUAUGCAGUAGAGCUAGGCUUUUCAAGAUACAGGAGACCAAUGAGAAGGGUUUUUUUUAGGCCGGGCACAGUGGCUCAUGCCUGUAAUCCCAGUACUUUGGGAGGCUGAGGCAGGCGG